AAGGGAGACCUAAUUCAGGUAGGAGACGAAAAAAAGUAGUCCCAACCAAGAAUCAAUCCCAAAAGGUCGGAGCGAGGCGAAAUUGGCUUUCAAACUAGGUUCUGGGUUCACACAAGACCUGAAUCAGGAACAAGGGCUAUUAGCUCAGGUGGUUAGAGCGCACCCCUGAUAAGGGUGAGGUCCCUGGUUCGAGUCCAGGAUGGCCCACCUGCACAGGUGGCAAAAACAAGAGAAGCGAGGAAUCAGCACCUUAUCUUAUCUAUAUAUAUAUAGGAGAGAAUGCUGGCUCUGAGUAAAGAGUCCAGAGGAACCUUGAAAACUGCAUAGAGCUAGGUGAAAAAGCCAAAAAAGAAGACCGCAA
rnacentral:tRNA from 1 species